rnacentral:tRNA from 1 species
GCAAACGUAGCUCAGUUGGUUAGAGCUCAAUCUUGCCAAGAUUGAGCUCGGGUGUUCGAGUCAUCUUGUUCGCU